UUUUCAUCUCUUUCCUUCUCCCUCUCUCCGUCAUUUCUUCUGCUUCUCAAUCUGGCAUCUAUUCCUCUAGAUUUUGUGAAGACAUAGAGAUGGAUCGUUGUAGAAGUGAAACUCGGAUGAGUUCGGAAUCUUCUGGCUCAGCCUGUGGCGGGUCAGGCGAGUUCAAUCAAGCUCAACAGGAUUUUUCAACGAAAGAUUCUAUGUCUAUAGAAUGGACAAAUGAGAAACAUAGUCUUUACCUUAAAUCCAUGGAAGCAUCAUUUGUUAAUCAAUUAUAUAGUUCCAUGGAUCUUCUUGGCUGCCAAGUCCAAGAGGAGAUGUCAGAUCCUAAAUUGUCACAGCAGGUACAUUGUAACACUGCUCCAUCUGGCCAGUUCAAGGUUCUUCGAGGGGGUUGCUGGAAGAAAAUCAAUUUUCAAAAGUCUGAUUCACAUGCAAAAAUAGCAAAUGAACCCCGCGGCCUUCUGAUAAAUCCAUGGAUCCAGCACUAUAGGUCUGCAAGAAAACCCCAUGUCCCUCUCCAUGAAAGUGCUGCAUCGCAAAGUCAAGCAACCAACUUAAGCAGGAAGAAGGCAGCGGCAAGUGGAACAGCAACUCGUUUGAAACAUUCUUAUCUUUGUAGAUGCUAUUCAUGUAGUCAAGGCCUUGACAGCAACAAAGAGGUGUCAGAUCAGAAUUUUGUGGAUGAAGAUGUUAAAAGUGAAAAGACAAGCAGCACAUGCGGCUCAAAAAGAACGAAAAUUCAGACAGAUGGUGCUUCGAGUUAUGAUCAGGUAAUCUACAUUUACAUAUGCACAUGGGUUCAUGUAAUGUUAGUGUUGCUUUCUCCGUUUAUCCAUGUCGAAGUCCUCUUACAGGUUGUUCCACACAUCAAGUCCCCUGUGACUGCAGGUACUGAGAACUGAGAAGUGUGUUUCCGCAGCUAGAUAAAAAUUUGUUCAUAUCUGAUACACAUGGGGUAUUUUUGAGGAGCACAUUUGUUCAUAUGGUUAUGGCAAACAAAAAUUUGCAUAAAUUUGAUGCUGCUGUGAGGAAUGAAUCUUGUUCUUUUACUUGUGCAUAUGUGCAUUUGAUACUUUAUAAAUUCACUUGAUUUUCAUCUGUAGUGAAAGCAUGUAUAUAUAGGCUAUCAUGGCGUUGCACUCUGGUAAUACCUCUCCUCGUGUCUAAAAUUGAUUUUUGGCUCGGUGUUGAUUUAGCAAUAGAAACAAAAGCUAGAGAAGGUUGCAGGAGCCGUGGGCAUAAUUCAAUGAUAAUUGCAUAUACGUUCAAUCUAAGAGACCCGAGUUCGACUCUCCAAGUAUGUAAUCAAAAAGAGCUAUCGAAGCUUCUCUGAACAAUCAUCCAAGCAUAUAAUUCACUUUGCUUGUUCGCAUUUAAGACUCUUCCAGAAAGAAGUUGAAUCCAAGCGCGGCAUAGAAAUACUU
rnacentral:misc_RNA from 1 species